rnacentral:rRNA from 1 species
UACGGAGGGGGGCUAGCGUUGUUCGGAAUUACUGGGCGUAAAGCGCACGUAGGCGGCUUUGUAAGUUAGAGGUGAAAGCCCGGGGGCUCAACCCCCGGAAUUGCCUUUAAGACUGCAUCGCUAGAAUUGUGGAGAGGUAAGUGGAAUUCCGAGUGUAGAGGUGAAAUUCGUAGAUAUUCGGAAGAACACCAGUGGCGAAGGCGACUUACUGGACACAUAUUGACGCUGAGGUGCGAAAGCGUGGGGAGCAAACAGG